AAACAAGCCCACUGUUUGGAAUUCACCCGUCAGCAAAACAAGAAUCCCCCUUUUGCCACAAAGCACACUCAUGAAUCACAAUGACACAAAGGCUGAUGGUCUCUGAUAGGGUGUUUUUAUUGGUGCCCAGUGGCUCUAUAGGAGACCUUGUGUGACUGCUUGCAUAUGCUACCCGCAUCUCAUAAGAAUCCCAUAAACGAACUAACUCUGGAGGCAUAUCCAACCAGCGAUUUGCAAAGAGAAGCCACCAGGGGAUCGCUGUUCCACAAUUAAAUCCUUCACAAACGCUCUUUCAGCAGGCUGGAUCACAUGCAGGAUCCCGCAGCGAGCGCUAGCAACGUGGCCGGCUAACAAAGAGCGACUGCUGCACGAGACGGCUGCGCAGCUCCAAGGUCUUUGAAUGGUUUGACAACACUCAAGCGUCUGUGCCAGCCAAUGUUCUCAUGGCAAAGGAAUGCCACGGUUUAUGGAAUAAAGACAGACACCCUGCACUUUCUGACGUACGGUAUCACUUCACUCUCCUCCUCUUGUUUUGACACCUAUCAGUUCAGGACCGAGCACCAGACAGUCUCUCCAUGGCGUGAGAAUCCCAGACAACUGAUCUCUGGCCAAGUAUAAAGGAAGCCGUCAUGCUGGUCUUCCUGAUGGCACUUUCAGGGGUCGGGAAUUGAGAGUCAGUGCUUAUUCAGGGGGUUUUAAAAGACUUGUGGACAUUCUUUCCUUCAACAUGAUCCAUAACAUCACUGGCAGCUGACUGUAGGUGGUUUGCAGCGGCACGUUUGCAGUAAGGCUCUGCGCAAUAUGUCCUGAGCGCUACAUCCUGUUGGGAGCGGUGACCGACAUGUGUUCCUGUGUUGGAAUGGUGUGGCAUUCGUCUCUGGCCAGAAUCUCCAUGGUGCUUAUCACCGCCAUAUGGGAUACUGGCACGGAAAGACAGUGCGGCAAAACGGUAAUGAACACGCAGGGCUGCAUCACACCACUGCAGAUUUCAGAUUAAGAAGUCAAAUAUUUAAACAUAGUCGCAGUAGAAAGUAUUUGGACAUUUAGGCCACUUGUAAAGACAUGUGGUUUUGGAAAAUAUAAAAGAUACAGUAGUGGCCAAAGACGAUGUCCAACUUUGUAAACUGAAGUCUUUUACUGAUUCAACAUGUAAACGAAGCGUUUUAGUUGCGUAGUUUAGCUUGGAGAAUAAACUGAGGUUCAGUUGUGGCCCAACUUUGUCCUAUAAAGGCCUUAAAGGUUUAAUGU